GCUUUGAAGUGUGGACGCCAGUCUGCAUGGAGCCGACCUUGAAAUACCACCCUUUAAUGUUUGAUGUUCUAACGUUGACCCGUAAUCCGGGUUGCGGACAGUGUCUGGUGGGUAGUUUGACUGGGGCGGUCUCCUCCUAAAGAGUAACGGAGGAGCACGAAGGUUGGCUAAUCCUGGUCGGACAUCAGGAGGUUAGUGCAAUGGCAUAAGCCAGCUUGACUGCGAGCGUGACGGCGCGAGCAGGUGCGAAAGCAGGUCAUAGUGAUCCGGUGGUUCUGAAUGGAAGGGCCAUCGCUCAACGGAUAAAAGGUACUCCGGGGAUAACAGGCUGAUACCGCCCAAGAGUUCAUAUCGACGGCGGUGUUUGGCACCUCGAUGUCGGCUCAUCACAUCCUGGGGCUGAAGUAGGUCCCAAGGGUAUGGCUGUUCGCCAUUUAAAGUGGUACGCGAGCUGGGUUUAGAACGUCGUGAGACAGUUCGGUCCCUAUCUGCCGUGGGCGCUGGAGAACUGAGGGGGGCUGCUCCUAGUACGAGAGGACCGGAGUGGACGCAUCACUGGUGUUCGGGUUGUCAUGCCAAUGGCACUGCCCGGUAGCUAAAUGCGGAAGAGAUAAGUGCUGAAAGCAUCUAAGCACGAAACUUGCC
rnacentral:rRNA from 1 species